rnacentral:rRNA from 1 species
CGGACGGGUGAGUAACGCGUGGAAAACCUGCCGUAUACUGGGGGAUAACACUCAGAAAUAGGUGCUAAUACCGCAUAAGCGCACAGCUUCGCAUGAAGCGGUGUGAAAAACUCUGGUGGUAUACGAUGGUUCCGCGUCUGAUUAGCUAGUUGGUGGGGUAAUGGCCUACCAAGGCAACGAUCAGUAGCCGGCCUGAGAGGGUGAACGGCCACAUUGGGACUGAGACACGGCCCAAACUCCUACGGAAGGCAGCAG